AAUGAACGUUGGCGGCGUGGAUUAGGCAUGCAAGUCGAGGGAGAACCCGCAAGGGGGACACCGGCGAACGGGGUAGGAUCACCUCGGUGACGUACCCUCCGGACGGGGAUAGCGACGGGAAACUGUCGGUAAUACCCGAUGAUCUGGCGAGCUUUUGAGGCUUGUCAGCAAAGGUGAGAUUCCACCGGAGGAGCGGCUGAGGCGCUAUUAGCUAGUUGGGGAGGUAACGGCUCACCAAGGCGACGAUGGCUAGGGGGGUGUGAGAGCAUGGCCCCCACCACUGGGACUGAGAUACUGCCCAGACACCUACGGGUGGCUGCAGUCGAGAAUCUUCGGCAAUGGGCGCAAGCCUGACCGAGCAACGCCGCGUGCGGGAUGAAGGCCCUUGGGUUGUAAACCGCUGUCAGGGGGAUGAAAGCGCAAGCUUGACAGAGCCCCAGAGGAAGCACGGGCUAAGUUCGUGCCAGCAGCCGCGGUAAAGUGUGACUG
rnacentral:rRNA from 1 species